rnacentral:sRNA from 1 species
CUGCAGCCCUGGAGACUGAAUCCCUGUGUUUAUCCACAGAGCAGACAGAGCGCGGGCAGUGGCAGCUUCCCCCCCGCUGCCUCCUCCCUGUGCCUGGGCGCUGACGCGGAGGAAGCACCGCUAAAGGUGAGCGGGGCCCUUCAGUCCCCACGCCCUGACAAUCCUCCCGCCACG